rnacentral:rRNA from 1 species
CGGAGGAAAAGAAACCAACAGGGAUUGCCUCAGUAACGGCGAGUGAAGCGGCAACAGCUCAAAUUUGAAAUCUGGCGGCCUCUGGGCCGUCCGAGUUGUAAUUUGAAGAGGAUGCUUUUGGCGAGGCGCCUUCCGAGUGCCCUGGAACGGGACGCCACAGAGGGUGAGAGCCCCGUAUGGUUGGACGCCGAGCCUCUGUAAAGCUCCUUCGACGAGUCGAGUAGUUUGGGAAUGCUGCUCAAAAUGGGAGGUAAACCCCUUCUAAAGCUAAAUACUGGCCAGAGACCGAUAGCGCACAAGUAGAGUGAUCGAAAGAUGAAAAGCACUUUGAAAAGAGAGUUAAAUAGCACGUGAAAUUGUUGAAAGGGAAGCGCUUGCGACCAGACUUGUGCCCGUCGAAUCAGCCGCCGCUCGCCGGCGGCGCACUUCGGCGGGCUCAGGCCAGCAUCAGUUCGCUGCAGGGGGAGAAAGGCGGCGGGAAUGUGGCUCUUCGGAGUGUUAUAGCCCGCCGCGCAAUACCCCUCGGCGGACUGAGGACCGCGCAUCUGCAAGGAUGCUGGCGUAAUGGUCGUCAGCGACCCGUCUUGAAACACGGACCAAGGAGUCGUCCUAAUAUGCGAGUGUUCGGGUGUAAAACCCCUGCGCGUAAUGAAAGUGAACGGAGGUGAGAGCUUCGGCGCAUCAUCGACCGAUCCUGAUGUUCUCGGAUGGAUUUGAGUAAGAGCAUAUUGGGCCGGACCCGAAAGAAGGUGAACUAUGCCUGUAUAGGGUAAAGCCAGAGGAAACUCUGGUGGAGGCUCGCAGCGGUUCUGACGUGCAAAUCGAUCGUCAAAUAUGGGCAUGGGGGCGAAAGACUAAUCGA